GACGAACGCUGGCGGCGUGCCUAAUACAUGCAAGUAGAACGCUGAAGAGAGGAGCUUACUCUUCUUGGAUGAGUUGCGAACGGGUGAGUAACGCGUAGGUAACCUGCCUUGUAGCGGGGGAUAACUAUUGGAAACGAUAGCUAAUACCGCAUAACAAUGGAUGACACAUGUCAUUUAUUUGAAAGGGGCAAUUGCUCCACUACAAGAUGGACCUGCGUUGUAUUAGCUAGUAGGUGAGGUAAUGGCUCACCUAGGCGACGAUACAUAGCCGACCUGAGAGGGUGAUCGGCCACACUGGGACUGAGACACGGCCCAGACUCCUACGGGAGGCAGCAGUAGGGAAUCUUCGGCAAUGGGGGCAACCCUGACCGAGCAACGCCGCGUGAGUGAAGAGGGUUUUCGGAUCGUAAAGCUCUGUUGUAAGUCAAGAGCGGGUGUGAGAGUGGAAAGUUCACACUGUGACGGUAGCUUACCAGAAAGGGACGGCUAACUACGUG
rnacentral:rRNA from 1 species